rnacentral:rRNA from 1 species
GAUGAACGCUGACCGAAUGCUUAACACAUCAGCCAUUGAUUGGUGGCGGACGGGUGAGUAACGCGUAAAGAACUUGCCUCACAGGUAGGGACAACCUUUGGAAACGAAUGCUAAUACCUAAUCCUGUGAGAGAGCUUUGCGUCCCAUUAGCUAGUUGGAGAGGUAACGGCUCACAAAGGCGAUGAUGGGUAGCCGGCCUGGGAGGGUGAUCCGCCACAAGGGGACUGAGACACGGCCAUUAAGCAUACGUGAGGAAGCAAUGGGGAAUAGUGGACAAUGGACCAAAGUCUGAUCAAGCAAUUCGGUGUGAACGAUGAAGUUUUCGGAAUGUAAAGUGCUUUCAGUUGGGAAGCGGUACCAACAGAAGAAGUGACGGCUAAAUACGUGCCAGCCGCCGCGGUAAUAC